CCGGGAAUUUUGGGCAAUGGGCGAAAGCCUGACCCAGCAACGCCGCGUGAAGGAUGAAGUAUUUCGGUAUGUAAACUUCGUAAGAAUAGGAAGAAUAAAUGACGGUACUAUUUAUAAGGUCCGGCUAACUACGUGCCAGCAGCCGCGGUAAUACGUAGGGACCAAGCGUUGUUCGGAUUUACUGGGCGUAAAGGGCGCGUAGGCGGCAAUUCAAGUCAUCUGUGAAAUCUCCGGGCUUAACUCGGAACGGUCAGAUGAUACUGCUUUGCUAGAGUGCAGAAGGGGCAAUCGGAAUUCUUGGUGUAGCGGUGAAAUGCGUAGAUAUCAAGAGGAACACCUGAGGUGAAGACGGGUUGCUGGGCUGACACUGACGCUGAGGCGCGAAAGCCAGGGGAGCAAACGGGAUUAGAUACCCUUGUAGUCCCUGAGCGGGCUGGCAAGGCGCAU
rnacentral:rRNA from 1 species